AGAGAGAGAAGAUACAACAACAGUGAAGGACUCGGACACAGAGGCUAUAUCACUAAUAAGGUGUAUCCAAAGAAUCCACUUAAUGGGAGGCUCGCCAGUCCAACUCCACAAU